ensembl:lincRNA
CUUUCUAGUCCCAUAACCUCCCAGUUUACCGUUCGUUUCUGCCACCCAACCUGGAGACAGCAGUUGUGAAAUCUUCCCAGGCAUGUCACUUGGCGGGUCGCCAUCAGGACUACUAGGACAGACCUAACCAAAAGUCUCACUCACCAAGCUUCUCCGACCACCCCGGGGUGUCCACACUCGGUUCCUCCCAUGACAGCAGCUCCUUGUUCAGAGAGCUCUCCGUAUCACCUUGGAAAAAGAUGAAAAACGCAGUGGAAAAAUGAACAAGGGAUCCGAGUGUCAUCGUAAACACUCAAACCUGUUCAACUUCACUUAGAAUUAGAGACUUGGAAAUCCCUGCCCAUGAAGAACCCAUCUUAAUGGCAAGGAUCACAAGUUUGGCCACAUGCCUUACAAAAUGUUUCUAUGUAUCCGAGACAGAUGGGCUUCAAUCUAGAUCUCAGCAUCCUGCCUCAGCAUCCUAGGGUUCAAGGAUAAUUGUGCACCACCACACCCUGUUUCUGUCACAAUUCUGAAAGAAGUUCUGCAAAACACAAAUGUGUGUCCCACCUCAGCUCCAAGCAACACCCGAGGCCUGGAUGGUAACACCCAUAUCACCAACCAAAGACCUGCCACUGCCAACCCAGAUGCUCUGAGGGGCCUUUGUCUGGAAGCCAUCCCCACUAGCUAUUGUAUUAGCUCAGAUUUGGAUCCCAUCAUUAAACUUUACUCUUUGACUUCAUAAAGAUUCUCUUCCCUAUCCGCCUGACUAGUUACAAAAGUCAACAAUCUCUACUACAGGUCUCAAAAGGAGGAUUAAUAGUUGCUUGAUGAAGCAAGAAAGCAAAUGUGGUUGGCCAUAUGUUGCCAAGAAAAGGAAGAAUGUGUCUCGUUUUCAAAGAAGAGGAAGAGGAGGAAGAGAAAGAAGAAGAAGAAGAAGAAGAAGA